rnacentral:misc_RNA from 1 species
UAUCCGUAGGUGAACCUGCGGAGGGAUCAUUACAGAGUUCAUGCCCUACCGGGUAGAUCUCCCACCCUAUGUUAUUAUUACUUUGUUGCUUUGGCGGGCCGUUAGGCUCCGGCCCGACUACCGGCCCCGGCUGGUAAGCGCCCGCCAGAGGACCCAAAACCCUGAAUAUUAGUGUCGUCUGAGUACUAUAUAGUAGUUAAAACUUUCAACAACGGAUCUCUUGGUUCUG